CUUGCGAUAAGAUUCCACAAGAUUGAAGAACCCAGGGUGCUUGAACAUUCAAGAUCCAUCAUUCUGGAACCCUGCCAUCUCACAGGUUUGUGUAUACACAUAUAUAUUAUUUAUCCUAACCAUGUGUAGAUUGGAGAAAAGGUCGUCAUCACAAGAAUACAACCCCCAUCAUAUGUGACGGAUAUUUACGCUACGCCACUCAUCCUAGUUGUGCAUCAUGGUAAGUGUGAUCAAGGUGAGAUAGUCUUACUCAUGGGCUUUAAACCUGAUGAGUAGUUUUUUUUUAUUUUUUUGCAUACAACUGCAUGUUUACUUUGAAUCAUCCAUGCAUCCACUUCAUUUAGUUUGCUCAUCCACAUCAUGUUUAGUUCCUUGCAUGCAUACAAUUCAUUUGCAUCUAAAAAUAUAAUAGUAUUUCUCACUGCGAUCAUACUCUAUCAUCACUAUUGAGUAAAUCUCUAUAAUGCUCUCAUGCUACCUUUGUUUGCUAUAGUAUAUGUUUAGGCUUGGAGUAGUUUCAUACAUCUUUUAAAUAAAGCAUGGUGCCUAGUUUAGGAGUGGUGAUCUUACUCUCAAAGGCUUUUAAUUACACAUGGUUAAAAUGCCUUCUUGAAUCAAAUUAGACACGGUGUCUAGGUUGUUUUUUGAGCUGAUAGUAUGCUAUAGUAGAUAUUGGAAUAUUUUUGUUGGACUAACCCUUAUAAGAAAAUCUCGAAUACCAAUUGGGAAAGUCUUGAGAUGAACUCAUACCAGAGAUGAAGGGUGACACAAUUCACGCGUAGCUAAGAAGAAAGAACGGAGCCACAAAACAUGAUCCAUGAUCAAAGCAAUUACUCCAUGGAGUUGCAUUCUCUUGUCAACCACUAAUUAUCAAGAAUCAAGAAAAUAUUGACAAGAGAAAAGCAUGCAACGUUUUGCACUCUCACCUCUAAGGUAGUGAAGCUG
rnacentral:lncRNA from 1 species